AUUGAACGCUGGCGGCAUGCUUUACACAUGCAAGUCGAACGGCAGCGGGGAGGUGCUUGCUUCUCUGCCGGCGAGUGGCGAACGUGUGAGUUAUACAUCGGAACGUUUCGAGAAGAGGGGGAUAACCACCCGAAAGGGUGGCUACUACCGCCUAAAUUCUGAGGAAGAAGGCUGGGGACCUAGCAAUAGGCCUGGCGCUUUUUGAUCGGCCGAUGUCGGAUUAGCUAGUUGGUGCGGUAAAGGCUCACCAAGGCGAAGAUCUGUAGCGGGUCUGCGAGGAUGAUCCGCCACACUGGGACUGAGACACGGCCCAGACUCCUAAGGGAGGCAGCAGUGGGGAAUUUUGGACAAUGGGGGGAACCCUGAUCCAGCCAUGCCGCGUGUAUGAAGAAGGCCUUAGGGUUGUAAAGUACUUUUGUUAGGGAAGAAAAGUCAGCUGGGAAUAAUGGCUGAUACUGACGGUACCUAAAGAAUAAGCACCGGCUAACUACGUG
rnacentral:rRNA from 1 species